GGCGUGGCCAGCAGCGGGCACCGGGAGCAGCUCUGCCGGGCCUGUGAGCUUCAGGGCGUGCAGUGAGAGCAGUGCAUCCCCCUGCCUGACUCACCACGUGUUGUUCAUGCACACAAGCCCCACUUCAUGGCUUUACACUGUCAAGAGUUUGGAGGAAAAAACUAUGAAGCUUCCAUGUCUCAUGUGGACAAGUUUGUUAAAGAAUUAUUAUCAAGUGAUGCGAUGAAAGACUACAACAGGGCUCGAGUUUACCUGGAUGAGAACUAUAAAUCACAGGAACAUUUUACGGUAAAUUUCUUUAUUAAAU